GACGAACGCUGGCGGCGUGCUUAACACAUGCAAGUCGAACGGGCCCGCUCUCUUUUUUGGGGGUGGGUUGAGUGGCGAACGGGUGAGUAUCACGUGAGUAACCUGCCCCCUGCUCCUGGAUAACUGCUUGAAGGGGCGGCUAAUACGGGGUGUGCCGGCUGGUCCGCAUGGGCCUGGUCGGGAUAGUUUCAUCUUCGGGUGUUUCGGUGGGGGAUGGGCUCGCGGCCCAUCAGCUUGUUGGUGGGGUGAUGGCCCACCAAGGCGGUGACGGGUAGCCGGCCUGAGAGGGUGGGCGGCCACACUGGGACUGAGACACGGCCCAGACUCCGGCGGGAGGCAGCAGUGGGGGGUAUUGCACAAUGGGCGGAAGCCUGAUGCAGCGACGUCGCGUGAGGGAUGGAGGCCUUCGGGUUGUGAACCUCUUUCUCCGGUGGUGAAGGCCCUGUCCGUUGCGGCGGGGUUGACGGUAGCCGGGUAUGAAGCGCCGGCUAACUACGUG
rnacentral:rRNA from 1 species